rnacentral:rRNA from 1 species
UAGUCCCGACCGUAAACGAUGGACACUAGUUGCUGGGAGAGUCAAUCCUCUCGGUGACGAAGUUAACGCAUUAAGUGUCCCGCCUGGGGAGUACGCUCGCAAGGGUGAAACUCAAAGGAAUUGACGGGGGCCCGCACAAGCGGUGGAGCAUGUGCUUUAAUUCGAUGCAACGCGAAGAACCUUACCUGGACUUGACAUGGGAGUGCAACUUUCUAGAGAUAGAUAGCCUACCUUCGGGUACACUCCGCACAGGUGCUGCAUGGUUGUCGUCAGCUCGUGUCGUGAGAUGUUGGGUUAAGUCCCGCAACGAGCGCAACCCUCGCCCUUAGUUGCCAGCGAGUAAUGUCGGGAACUCUAAGGGGACCGCCUGGUUUAACCCAGGACGGAAGGUGGGGAUGACGUCAAAUCCUCAUGGCCCUUACGUCCAGGGCUAGACACGUGCUACAAUGGCCGGUACAAGUGGGAUGCCAAAUCGUAGAGAUGGAGCCAACUCCCCGUAAAACCGGUCUCAGUCCGGAUUGGACG